CUUGGUGACCAUAGCAAGCGUGAACCACCCGAUCCCAUCCCGAACUCGGAAGUGAAACCGCUUAGCGCCGAUGAUAGUGUGGCAGGUUGCCAUGUGAAAGUAGGUCAUCGCMAAGC
rnacentral:rRNA from 15 species